rnacentral:rRNA from 1 species
ACGAACGCUGGCGGCAUGCCUAACACAUGCAAGUCGAACGAAUAAGAGCCCUAGCAAUAGGGAGUUCUGUUAGUGGCAAACGGGUGAGUAACACGUGGGAAUCUCCCCAGUAGUAAGGAAUAACAGUUAGAAAUGACUGCUAAUACCAUAUACGCUCGAAAGAGGAAAGAUUUAUCGCUAUUGGAUGAGCCCGCGCAAGAUUAGGUAGUUGGUAGGGUAAUGGCCUACCAAGCCUACGAUCUUUAGCUGGUCUGAGAGGAUGGCCAGCCACACUGGGACUGAGACACGGCCCAGACUCCUACGGGAGGCAGCAGUGGGGAAUAUUGGACAAUGGGCGCAAGCCUGAUCCAGCAAUGCCGCGUGAAUGAUGAAGGCCUUAGGGUUGUAAAAUUCUUUUGUCAGGGAAAAUAAUGAUGGUACCUGACGAAUAAGCUCCGGCUAACUUCGU